AGCGUACACGGUGGAUGCCCUGGCAGUCAGAGGCGAUGAAGGACGUGCUAAUCUGCGAAAAGCGCCGGUAAGGUGAUAUGAACCGUUAUAACCGGCGAUGUCCGAAUGGGGAAACCCGGUGCACUUCGGUGCAUCAUCGUUAGCUGAAUACAUAGGCUAACGAAGCGAACCGGGGGAACUGAAACAUCUAAGUACCCCGAGGAAAAGAAAUCAACCGAGAUUCCCCCAGUAGCGGCGAGCGAACGGGGAACAGCCCAGAGCCUGAAUCAGCUUGUGUGUCAGUGGAACGGUCUGGAAAGGCCGGCGAUACAGGGUGACAGCCCCGUACACGAAGGCACACAGGCUGUGAGCUCGAUGAGUAGGGCGGGACACGUGAUAUCCUGUCUGAAGAUGGGGGGACCAUCCUCCAAGGCUAAAUACUCCUGACUGACCGAUAGUGAACCAGUACCGUGAGGGAAAGGCGAAAAGAACCCCGGCGAGGGGAGUGAAACAGAACCUGAAACCGUGUACGUACAAGCAGUGGGAGCCUUCGUAAGAGGGUGACUGCGUACCUUUUGUAUAAUGGGUCAGCGACUUAUAUUCUGUAGCAAGGUUAACCGUAUAGGGGAGCCGAAGGGAAACCGAGUCUUAACCGGGCGUUAAGUUGCAGGGUAUAGACCCGAAACCCGGUGAUCUAGCCAUGGGCAGGUUGAAGGUUGGGUAACACUAACUGGAGGACCGAACCGACUAAUGUUGAAAAAUUAGCGGAUGACCUGUGGCUGGGGGUGAAAGGCCAAUCAAACCGGGAGAUAGCUGGUUCUCCCCGAAAGCUAUUUAGGUAGCGCCUCGUGAACUCAUCUCCGGGGGUAGAGCACUGUUUCGGCUAGGGGGCCAUCCCGGCUUACCAACCCGAUGCAAACUGCGAAUACCGGAGAAUGUUAUCACGGGAGACACACGGCGGGUGCUAACGUCCGUCGUGAAGAGGGAAACAACCCAGACCGCCAGCUAAGGUCCCAAAGUCAUGGUUAAGUGGGAAACGAUGUGGGAAGGCCCAGACAGCCAGGAUGUUGGCUUAGAAGCAGCCAUCAUUUAAAGAAAGCGUAAUAGCUCACUGGUCGAGUCGGCCUGCGCGGAAGAUGUAACGGGGCUAAACCAUGCACCGAAGCUGCGGCAGCGACGCUUAGGCGUUGUUGGGUAGGGGAGCGUUCUGUAAGCCUGCGAAGGUGUGCUGUGAGGCAUGCUGGAGGUAUCAGAAGUGCGAAUGCUGACAUAAGUAACGAUAAAGCGGGUGAAAAGCCCGCUCGCCGGAAGACCAAGGGUUCCUGUCCAACGUUAAUCGGGGCAGGGUGAGUCGACCCCUAAGGCGAGGCCGAAAGGCGUAGUCGAUGGGAAACAGGUUAAUAUUCCUGUACUUGGUGUUACUGCGAAGGGGGGACGGAGAAGGCUAUGUCAGCCGGGCGACGGUCGUCCCGGUUUAAGCGUGUAGGCUGACUUUCCAGGCAAAUCCGGAAGGUUAAGGCUGAGGCGUGAUGACGAGGCACCACGGUGCUGAAGUGACAAAUGCCCUGCUUCCAGGAAAAGCCUCUAAGCAUCAGGUAACAUCAAAUCGUACCCCAAACCGACACAGGUGGUCAGGUAGAGAAUACCAAGGCGCUUGAGAGAACUCGGGUGAAGGAACUAGGCAAAAUGGUGCCGUAACUUCGGGAGAAGGCACGCUGACAUGUAGGUGAAGCCCCUGCGGGUGGAGCUGAAGUCAGUCGAAGAUACCAGCUGGCUGCAACUGUUUAUUAAAAACACAGCACUGUGCAAACACGAAAGUGGACGUAUACGGUGUGACGCCUGCCCGGUGCCGGAAGGUUAAUUGAUGGGGUUAUCGCAAGAGAAGCUCCUGAUCGAAGCCCCGGUAAACGGCGGCCGUAACUAUAACGGUCCUAAGGUAGCGAAAUUCCUUGUCGGGUAAGUUCCGACCUGCACGAAUGGCGUAAUGAUGGCCAGGCUGUCUCCACCCGAGACUCAGUGAAAUUGAACUCGCUGUGAAGAUGCAGUGUACCCGCGGCAAGACGGAAAGACCCCGUGAACCUUUACUACAGCUUGACACUGAACAUUGAGCCUUGAUGUGUAGGAUAGGUGGGAGGCUUUGAAGCGUGGACGCCAGUCUGCGUGGAGCCAACCUUGAAAUACCACCCUUUAAUGUUUGAUGUUCUAACCUGGCGCCAUAAUCUGGCGUGGGGACAGUGUCUGGUGGGUAGUUUGACUGGGGCGGUCUCCUCCCAAAGUGUAACGGAGGAGCACGAAGGUCAGCUAAUCCUGGUCGGACAUCAGGAGGUUAGUGCAAUGGCAUAAGCUGGCUUGACUGCGAGAGUGACGGCUCGAGCAGGUGCGAAAGCAGGUCAUAGUGAUCCGGUGGUUCUGUAUGGAAGGGCCAUCGCUCAACGGAUAAAAGGUACUCCGGGGAUAACAGGCUGAUACCGCCCAAGAGUUCAUAUCGACGGCGGUGUUUGGCACCUCGAUGUCGGCUCAUCACAUCCUGGGGCUGAAGUAGGUCCCAAGGGUAUGGCUGUUCGCCAUUUAAAGUGGUACGCGAGCUGGGUUUAGAACGUCGUGAGACAGUUCGGUCCCUAUCUGCCGUGGGCGCUGGAGAAUUGAGGGGGGCUGCUCCCAGUACGAGAGGACCGGAGUGGACGCAUCACUGGUGUUCGGGUUGUCAUGCCAAUGGCACUGCCCGGUAGCUAAAUGCGGAAGAGAUAAGUGCUGAAAGCAUCUAAGCACGAAACUUGCCCCGAGAUGAGUUCU
rnacentral:rRNA from 1 species